rnacentral:rRNA from 1 species
GAUCAUUAAAAGAAAUGUGAAUUUUCAAUUCAUAAACACAUUCCGCGUACUUAUCCCUGUUGCUUCCGCAUGUUUGGCAAUAGCUCUUGCCAUUCCUCUACACUAGAGGAGCUUGCGGGAGAUUAUAAUAACCUCUAUCAUUCUCAUGAUGUCUGAAUCUUUGCCUUUGCAAGUAUUAAAACUUUCAACAACGGAUCUCUUGGUUCUCGCAUCGAUGAAGAGCGCAGCGAAAUGCGAUAAGUAGUGUGAAUUGCAGAAUUCCGUGAAUCAUCGAGUUCUUGAACGCACAUUGCGCCCCUUGGCAUUCCAAGGGGCAUGCCUGUCCGAGCGUCAUUGAAAACUCUCAGGUUUGGAUUUAUCCACUUCCUGGUUUUGAGUUUGGAGCUUUGUUGAUGUUCCAAUUCGAAAUGAAACGGCGCAAAUGGUUGUCGGAUCUGUGUCAUAAGUUUAAUCCUUCACAAGUCGAUGCAUCAUUUGCCGCUCUCUAUUAGGAUGUUACUCCUUAUGACCUCGGAUCAGGUAAGGAUACCCGCUGAACUUAAGCAUAUCAUAAGCCGGAGGA